rnacentral:rRNA from 1 species
UACGGAGGGGGCAAGCGUUAUUCGGAAUUAUUGGGCGUAAAGGGCGCGUAGGCGGCUAGAUGUGUCAAAGGUGAAAUCCCUCGGCUCAACUGAGGAACUGCCUUUGAAACUGUCUGGCUUGAGGCCGGGAGAGGGUAGCGGAAUUCCCAGUGUAGCGGUGAAAUGCGUAGAUAUUGGGAGGAACACCAGUGGCGAAGGCGGCUACCUGGACCGGAUCUGACGCUGAGGCGCGAAAGCGUGGGUAGCAAACAGG